rnacentral:rRNA from 1 species
CACCGCGGUUAUACGAGAGGCCCAAGUUGACAGACCACGGCGUAAAGGGUGGUUAAGAAAUACUAAAAACUAAAGUCGAACGCCCCCCGUACUGUGAUAAGUCCGUCCGGGGGUAUGAAGCCCAACCACGAAAGUGACUUUAUUAUAUCUGACUCCACGAAAGCUGAGGAA